rnacentral:rRNA from 1 species
UACGUAGGGGCCUAGCGUUGUCCGGAUUUAUUGGGCGUAAAGAGCUCGUAGGCGGUUUGGUGAGUCGGGUGUGAAAUCUCCACGCUCAACGUGGAGGAGCCACCCGAUACUGCCAUGACUAGAGUCCGGUAGGGGAGUGUGGAAUUCCCGGUGUAGCGGUGAAAUGCGCAGAUAUCGGGAGGAACACCCGUAGCGAAGGCGGCACUCUGGGCCGGAACUGACGCUGAGGAGCGAAAGCGUGGGGAGCAAACAGG